AACACUCAUGCUGACCUUCUGGCAUUGCACCCGCCUUCCAUUGAGAUUCAUGGCUUCUUUUCCACCUACCAGUGUUUUCCUUUCCUUUCUACGAAGAAAUUGCCUAAGCUCAGCUGAGCCCUGAUAGUAAGAUCGUCGCUGGUACCUUUGGCACACAGCCUGUCAAUGGCUUCUGCGAAUCGUCGAAGGGCGUCUUCUUCUUCUACUCCUGUCCGUCCAUGGGAUUACGAAGUUUUCUUGAGCUUUAGGGGUGAAGAUACCCGCAGAAAUUUCACAGGUCAUCUCUAUGCAGCGUUGAUUCGGAAAGGGAUUGUUACCUUUAGAGACGAUGAAGGACUAUCAAGGGGAGAGGAGAUCGCACCAAGUCUUCUUACAGCUAUUGAGAAGUCAAGGUGCGCUCUCGUGAUUCUCUCCGAACAUUAUGCCGACUCCAGAUGGUGUUUGGAGGAACUGGCGAAGAUCAUGGAGUGGAGGGCAGAAAUGGGAUUGAUAGUUUAUCCAGUUUUCUAUCAUGUGGAUCCUUCCCAUGUGAGACAUCAGAGGGGCCAUUACGGAGAAGCAUUAGCCGAUCAUGAAAGAAAUGGGUCUGGUCACCAGACACAAAGGUGGAGGGCAGCUUUGACAGAAGUGGCCAAUCUUUCUGGAUGGCAUGCAGAAAAUGGGUCUGAGUCAGAAGUUGUUAAUGAUAUUACUCGCACUAUUUUGGCAAGAUUUACUCGGAAACAUUUACAUGUUGACAAAAACCUCGUUGGGAUGGAUGAUCGUUUGAAUGAAGUUAUUCCACAAAUGAUAGAUCUAUCAUCAAAUGAGGUUCGCAUGAUUGGGAUCUAUGGACUUGGAGGAAUUGGUAAAACAACCGUUGCCAAAGUUGUUUAUAAUCGAAUUGCCCCUCUUUUCAUGAUUACUAGCUUUAUUGCUAAUGUCAGAGAGGAUUCCAAAAGUAGGGGUUUACUUCAUUUACAAAAACAACUCCUUCAUGAGAUCUUGCCAAGCCGGAAGAACUUUAUAAGCAAUGUUGAUGAAGGGAUCCAUAUGAUACAAGACAGGUUAUGCUUUAAAAGUGUUCUUCUCAUUCUUGAUGAUGUUGACACUUUGGACCAACUAGAAGGCUUGGCUGGUGAUUGCAAUUGGUUUGGUCCUGGAAGUAGAAUUAUUGUAACAACUAGAGAUAGGCAUUUGUUGGAUGUGCAUAAAAUGGAUGCAUUUUAUGAGGUUAAGAAAUUAGAUCAAAUGGAAGCUAUUGAGCUCUUUAGUCAACACGCAUUUGAACAGAAGCAUCCCAAAGAAGAUUAUGAAACACUUUCAAACUCUAUGGUGCGUUGCGUUGAUGGUCUUCCUUUAGGCCUUAAAGUUUUGGGUCGUUUCCUAUUUGGCAAGACAAUACUUGAAUGGAAAAGUGAAUUGCAAAAACUAAAACAGGAACCUAACCAAGAAAUUCAAGGUGUGCUCAAGAGAAGUUAUGAUGAAUUAGAUCUCACACAAAAGGAUAUAUUCCUAGAUGUUGCUUGCUUCUUUAAUGGAGAAGAUAAAGAUCAUGUUACAAGAAUCCUAGAUGCUUGCAACUUCUAUGCAGAGAGUGGAAUACGAGUCCUCGGUGAUAAAUGCCUCAUAACUAUUUUUGACAACAAGAUAUUGAUGCAUGAUUUGUUACAACAAAUGGGACGAUACAUUGUUCGACAAGAUUAUCCUAACUACCCUGAAAAAUGGAGCAGGUUGUGCUAUCCUGACGACGUAAAUCGUGUAUUGAUCAGAAAAUCGGGAACAGAGGCAAUUGAGGGCAUACUCUUCGACUUGUCUAUACCAAAGCGUAAGCGGAUAGACAUUACUACUAAAUCCUUUGAGAUGAUGACAAGACUUAGGUUGCUCAAAAUCUAUUGGGCUCAUGGAUCUAUUUCUAUAAGGGAGGAUAAUAAAGUAAAGUUGUCCAAAGACUUUGAAUUCCCCUCUUAUGAGCUAAGAUAUCUCUACUGGCAUGGAUAUCCUUUGGAAUCUUUGCCUUCAAGUUUUUAUGCUGAGGACCUCAUUGAACUUGACAUGUGUUACAGCAGCUUAAAACAACUUUGGGAAAGCGACGAGCCUCUUGAAAAGUUAAAUACUAUCAGAGUUAGUUUCUCUCAGCACCUCAUGGAAAUUCCAGACUUCUCAGUUAGGGCUCCAAAUCUGGAAAAACUAAUUCUUGAUGGUUGUUCAAGUUUGCUUGAGGUUCAUCCAUCUAUUGGAAGGCUGAAGAAGAUUAUUGUAUUGAAUCUAAAAAACUGCAAACAGCUUAGCAGUUUUCCAAGCAUCACUGACAUGGAAGCACUUGAAAUUCUUAAUUUUGCUGGCUGCUCAGAGCUCAAGAAGUUUCCGGAUAUUCAAUGUAAUAUGGAACAUUUAUUGAAGCUUUAUUUAUCAUCAACUGCUAUAGAGGAACUUCCAUCUUCAAUCGGGCAGCAUAUCACUGGACUUGUUUUAUUGGAUCUGAAAAGGUGCAAAAAUCUUACGAGUCUUCCCACAUGUAUUUUUAAGUUGAAAUCCCUUGAAUAUCUCUUUCUGUCUGGCUGUUCAAAAUUGGAGAAUUUUCCAGAAAUAAUGGAGGACAUGGAAAAUUUAAAAGAGCUUCUUUUAGAUGGAACAUCCAUAGAAGUGCUACCCUCUUCAAUUGAACGUCUAAAAGGACUUGUUCUAUUGAAUCUGAGGAAAUGCAAAAAGCUUGUGAGUCUUCCAGACAGCAUGUGUAAUUUGAGAUCCCUUCAAACAAUCAUUGUCUCUGGUUGUUCACAACUAGACCAAUUGCCUAAGAAUGUUGGGAGCCUGCAACAUCUAGUGCAGCUCCAUGCUGAUGGAACUGCUAUAAGACAACCACCUGACUCAAUUGUUCUUUUGAGAGGCCUCCGAGUGUUGAUCUAUCCUGGAUGUAAAAUAUUACCAUCUAGCUCAUUGAGUUCACUCUUUUCAUUCUGGUUGUUGCAUGGAAGAGGUUCAAAUGGGAUUGGUUUGCGCUUGCCUUCUUUUCCAUGUUUAAGCUCCUUGACAAAUUUAAACCAAAGCAGUUGCAAUCCAAGCAGAAACAAUUUUCUAAGCAUACCUACCAGCAUCAGUGCACUUACUAACCUGAGAGACCUUUGGUUGGGGCAGUGCCAGAAUCUUACAGAAAUUCCAGAGCUUCCACCAAGUGUCCCAGAUAUCAAUUCACGUGAUUGCACAUCCCUUUCAUUAAGUUCAUCCAGUAUAAGCAUGUUGCAGUGGCUGCAGUUCCUAUUCUAUUAUUGCUUGAAGCCAGUUGAGGAGCAAUUUAAUGAUGAUAAGAGGGAUGCAUUACAAAGAUUUCCUGAUAAUUUAGUGUCUUUUUCUUGUUCUGAGCCCUCUCCAUCUAAUUUCGCUGUGGUGAAGCAGAAAUUUUUUGAAAAUGUUGCAUUUAGCAUGAUUCUUCCUGGAAGUGGAAUUCCCAAGUGGAUCUGGCAUCGGAAUAUGGGAUCUUUUGUAAAAGUAAAGCUACCUACGGAUUGGUAUGAUGAUGACUUUUUGGGAUUUGCUGUCUGCUCUGUUCUUGAACAUGUCCCUGAUAGAAUUGUAUGCCAUUUGAGUCCUGACACUCUUGAUUAUGGAGAAUUGAGAGACUUCGGUCAUGAUUUCCAUUGCAAAGGUAGCGAUGUCAGUUCAGAGCAUGUCUGGUUGGGUUAUCAACCUUGUGCUCAGCUGAGGAUGUUUCAAGUGAAUGACCCGAAUGAGUGGAGUCACAUGGAGAUUUCUUUUGAAGCAACCCAUAGACUCAGCUCAAGAGCAUCAAAUAUGGUGAAAGAAUGUGGGGUACGUCUUAUAUAUGCAGAAGAUCUUGAAAGUAUACAAUGCAGCCCUCUUCUUGGGAGUUUGGGUGACUCUGGAUCAAGAGUAGGAGGCAAUAUAGUUGAGAGAAGCAGUGACGGGGCAGGGCCCAGUGGAAGUGGAAGUGGGCACAGUUCUGUUGGCAGCAGUCAGCAUUCCAGGAAUGAUCCCUUGCUGAAGGUCAAGCGCAAAUAUUUCCCAGAAUGACUACCAUCAUCCAAGCACUUUCUUCCAAUAAACUUCUCUUCUGUUGAUUUGGUUAUGCACGCUUCAAGUUAUGAUUAUUUUCUUUCUUCCAUUGUAUUGACCUCCUCCAAUCAUAUCUCUCUAUUACAUCUUUGUGGACCUUUUGGCCAGAAUGAGAAUUCCCAUGGAAGGAUUUAAUGUUCUUGUUUCUUGUAGAGCAACUCCUUUGCAAGUGCAGCUGUCCCACCAGCUUGUAAUUUUUUUUUUUAACUAUUAAUAUAUUUUAGAUGCUACUUAUGAAACUAGUUAUUUUUGUUUGUGAUAAAUUCAGCAGAGCCUUAUUAAGGCUUUUUUUAUUCAAUCCAUUGUUGUGGCACAGAUGCCUUUUGCAAUUCUAAA